AUCAAAAUAGUUUAAUAAAACAAUAAACUGUAAAUUUAUUAUUGAAAAAUUUUUUCUUUUGAUA
rnacentral:tRNA from 1 species